rnacentral:rRNA from 1 species
AUUGAACGCUGGCGGCAGGCCUAACACAUGCAAGUCGAGCGGAUGAAGGGAGCUUGCUCCUGGAUUCAGCGGCGGACGGGUGAGUAAUGCCUAGGAAUCUGCCUGGUAGUGGGGGAUAACGUCCGGAAACGGGCGCUAAUACCGCAUACGUCCUGAGGGAGAAAGUGGGGGAUCUUCGGACCUCACGCUAUCAGCUGAGCCUAGGUCGGAUUAGCUAGUUGGUGGGGUAAAGGCCUACCAAGGCGACGAUCCGUAACUGGUCUGAGAGGAUGAUCAGUCACACUGGAACUGAGACACGGUCCAGACUACUACGGGAGGCAGCAGUGGGGAAUAUUGGACAAUGGGCGAAAGCCUGAUCCAGCCAUGCCGCGUGUGUGAAGAAGGGCUUCGGAUUGUAAAGCACUUUAAGUUGGGAGGAAGGGCAGUAAGUUAAUACCUUGCUGUUUUGACGUUACCAACAGAAUAAGCACCGGCUAACUUCGUG